GAUGAAGAACGUAGCGAAAUGCGAUAAGUAAUGCGAAUUGCAGAAUUUCCGUGAAUCAUCGAAUCUUUGAACGCACAUUGCGCCCCUCGGUAUUCCGAGGGGCAUGCCUGUUCGAGCGUCAUUAUAACCCUUCAAGCUCAGCUUGGUGUUGGGGCCUGCUGUAACUGGUAGCCCUUAAAAUCAGUGGCAGUGCUAUUAGGCUCUAAGCGUAGUAAUUCUUCUCGCUAUAGUGUGUAGUGAGCGCUUGCCAGAACCCCAAACUUUUAUAUGAUUGACCUCGGAUCAGGUAGGGAUACCCGCUGAACUUAAGCAUAUCAAUAAGCGGAGGA
rnacentral:misc_RNA from 1 species